AUGGUUUUCCUCUUGAUGACGAGCAUAACCUCUGACCACCCAAAUGCACUUCCAAGGCAACAGUCGACUAGCGUCGGCAGUCGGGCUGGCCGGACCAGAGACAACGCAGUUACACAGAACUGUUGCACGUUCGCGUCUGAGACUCCGACCUUCGCCUUGGAAACUCCGCUUCGCAUCUUCCCCUUCUCUCACCAUCAAGACCUCGAGGCUGGCCGUUCCGAUGAUGUGUCUGCUGUCAUAACCAGAUCCCUCGAUGUCUCUACAUUUAACCACUCAUUGGGGAUGAAUGACUUCCAAGAGGGCUUUCUCUUACAUUCUCAGACCGCUGAAAGCUGCCAAAGACAACAAUGACAAGUGUGCUGGAUUGGGUCAGUUAAGGUUUUGUGCUAUCUCAUCAGCUGAACCCUAGCGAAACUGAGUACAAUAAAUAAUUUCUUUUAUUCA
rnacentral:lncRNA from 1 species